rnacentral:rRNA from 1 species
UCAAUUGUCUUAUAAUUAAAGACUGGAAUGAAUGGUUGAACGAAAUUAAAACUGUUUCAUUUGUACUAAUUAGAAAUUGGUUUUUAAAUGAAGAGAUUUAAAUUUAAUUAAUAGACAAGAAGACCCUAUUGAGCUUUAAAUAACUUUAAAAUUAAAAAUUUAUUAUUAGAGAUUUAAGUUUUAAAUGUUUUUUAGUUGGGGCGACUAAGGAACAGGUAAAGCUUCCUUUAUUUAUUAGAUCGAUGGAUUUUGAUCCAGUAUUAAACUGAUUAAUGGAGAUAGUUACCAUAGGGAUAACAGCAUAAUCUUCUUGGAGAGUUCUUAUCAAAAAGGGGGGUUGUGACCUCGAUGUUGGAUUAAAAUAUCCUAAAGGUGUAGAGGC